UUACUGGCUAUCGGUGUUCGCCUAAGCCAUGCGAGUCAUAUGUUCUUCGUGAACAUGGCGUACUGCUCAGUAACACGUGGAUAACCUGCCCUUGGGUCCGGCAUAACCCCGGGAAACUGGGGAUAAUUCCGGAUAACGCAUAUUUGCUGGAAUGCUUUAUGCGUCAAAUGGAUUCGUCUGCCCAAGGAUGGGUCUGCGGCCUAUCAGGUAGUAGUGGGUGUAAUGUACCUACUAGCCGACAACGGGUACGGGUUGUGAGAGCAAGAGCCCGGAGAUGGAUUCUGAGACAUGAAUCCAGGCCCUACGGGGCGCAGCAGGCGCGAAAACUUUACAAUGCGGGAAACCGUGAUAAGGGGACACCGAGUGCCAGCAUCAUAUGCUGGCUGUCCAGGUGUGUAAAAUACACCUGUUAGCAAGGGCCGGGCAAGACCGGUGCCAGCCGCCGCGGUAACACCGGCGGCCCGAGUGGUGAUCGUGAUUAUUGGGUCUAAAGGGUCCGUAGCCGGUUUGGUCAGUCCUCCGGGAAAUCUGAUAGCUCAACUAUUAGGCUUU
rnacentral:rRNA from 1 species